rnacentral:lncRNA from 1 species
UGCAAAUAGUUUAAAUGUUGUAGAAAUAUAGGAAGAAAACAGAUGCUGCUACAGUGUCUGGUACCUUGAAACUUUUUCAUUGUUUCAAAACACACAGGGAUAACCCACAGCAUAUGGAAAGAGAAAACAAAACGACCCGGGCUGAAAAAACGAUCAACACCUUCUGUAGGACAGACAGUGGACAAAGUGCUCAGCGACUGGCCAUCGUGGCCACAGCCUGAAUGAGAAGAACUCCUGCCCUGAGGCCACUGGGGGCCUGGGGUGGGCUCCUGGGGUCACAGAGACCAGGGGGCAUUGGAGAGAUGAGGAGCUGGAAUCAGACUCCGGGCCUGAAGCACAGACUGGAAUAAGUCUGUACAGACCUGCCUCCUGGGAUGCUCUCCGGAAACUGGUCCCUGGAGGCAAGGCACAAGGGAGCUUCCGCAGAAAUCGGAGAAACCAAGCACCUGGGCUGAGGAUUUCCCAAGGAGGGCAGGACAGGGGCCUCGAAUGUCAAAGUUAGACCUGGCUCUGGAUGGGGAGCAGGGGUCAGGGAGGAGGCAGCCACGGAAAUCCACAGCUCCAGGACAGGUGAGCUCACCUCAGAGAGCCUGGGCACCAAAACUCCGUUUUUAAACUCAAUGCUAGGAGACACACAAGGAAAUUGAUCUUUAGAAUGUGCAUUCUCUCUGGGCAAGUUAAUUUUACAGAAAAUCUGACAUGGACUUUCUUUUUUCCUUUUCUUUUUUUUUUUGAGGAAGCUUAGCCCUGAGCUAACAUCUGCUGCCAACCCUCCUCUUUUUGCUGAGGAAGACUGGCCCUGAGCUAACAUCUGUGCCCAUCUUCCUCUACUUUAUAUGUGGGACACCUGCCACAGCAUGGCUGGCCAAGCAGUGCCAUGUCCACACCAGGGAUCCGAACAGGCGAACCCCGGGGCACCAAAGCGGAAUGUGUGAACUUAACCACUGCGCCACCAGGCCGGUCCCUGACAUGGACUUUAAAAUAGCUGCCACCUUCGAGCUAAGAGUUUUCCAGAGUACAUUAUGUGGUCUCCGGUUUUGUCUAAUUUCUUUGAGCUACUGCAAGCUGAUUCCAGCAAGUUGCUGUCACUAGAAAGUUUAUCCGAAACU